AUUCAAUGUUAAGGCAGUUAUUUUUCAUAAAAAUAUAUGAAUUAGAAAGUAUUUUACUAGAAAAGGAUUACAUUCAUAAAAAUAAAAAUAAAUAAUCAUCCCACAAAUACUUCAUACACAGAUUUCCCACACAAAGCUCUCCUCUAUCAACCAUGUAGAAAGGUUAUCAAGGAGCAUGGUACAGGCCUCAAAGAGAGAAUACCGACUCUACUGCAACAAUAGCAUAAUUAUGCACCGCAGGGUGGCGCGUGGGGUUUCUAAAACACGAGUCAAGAAGCUUCUGGACGACGAUUCAUAUGUAUUGAUCAACUAGAGAAAAAGCCAGGGUGGAAAACACACAAGCUUAAAACCAAUUCAAUCUACCACCCACCAUGCCUAGUACUAUUGAAUGAAACAUUAUUUUCAUUACACUGCUACGUGUAGGCCUCCAAUCAUGUAGAACACAGAUAUAUCAUUAUGAUUUGAAAAGACAAAAUUCAUUUAGAAUGCACUUCCAAGAAAAAACUCAUACUAACAAUCAGAGUCAGAGAUUUUCUCCUCCUUAGGUGGUGCAAACUGCCGGCUAAGCCGAGAUCUUGUCCAGGGGUCCAUGGCUGGUCUCUGUGGGGGUUGAGGAUUUGGUGGUUUGGAUUGUCUAAGUUCAUUUUCUCUAUCAAUAAACUCUAUAUAGGCCAUUGGUGCAGCAUCACCUACUCGAAUGCGAGUUCGGAGCAUUCUCGUGUAUCCACCAGCUCUAUCUUUGUAUCUGUAAGCCAAUUCAGUAAAGAGCUUAUGAAUGACAUCAUCCCCACGCACAAAGGCAGCUGCCUGUCUUGCAGCACAUAGAGUUCCCUCCUUUCCAAACUGAACCAUAUUGUCGGCCAACCUUCUGACUUCCUUUGCCUUAGCAACGGUGGUUUCAAUCCGCUCGUGCUUCACUAAUUGUGACACCAUUGUCCUGAGCAUGGACAUCCGAUGUCCCGUCGGACGAUUCAAUUUCCUGAAUUUGGUCAUUUUGGGAUCACCGGAGAAACGGGAAAGAGGAGAGAAUGGG
rnacentral:misc_RNA from 1 species